rnacentral:rRNA from 1 species
GAUCAUUGCUCAGGAUGAACGCUAGCUACAGGCUUAACACAUGCAAAUCGAGGGGCAUCAGGAAGAAAGCUUGCUUUCUUUGCUGGCGACCGGCGCACGGGUGAGCAACACGUAUCCAACCUGCCCUUUACUCGGGGAUAGCCUUUCGAAAGAAAGAUUAAUACCCGAUGGCAUAAUGAUUCCGCAUGGUUUCAUUAUUAAAGGAUUCCGGUAAAGGAUGGGGAUGCGUUCCAUUAGGUUGUUGG